rnacentral:rRNA from 1 species
AUUGAACGCUGGCGGCAGGCCUAACACAUGCAAGUCGAGCGGAAGAAGGGAGCUUGCUCGUGGAUUCAGCGGCGGACGGGUGAGUAAUGCCUAGGAAUCUGCCUGGUAGUGGGGGAUAACGUCCGGAAAUGGGCGCUAAUACCGCAUACGUGCUGAGGGAGUAAGGGGGGGAUCAUCGGACCUUACGCUAUCAGAUGAGCCUAGGUCGGAUUAGCUAGUUGGUGGGGUAACGGCCUACCAAGGCGACGAUCCGUAACUGGUCUGAGAGGAUGAUCAGUCACACUGGAACUGAGACACGGUCCAGACUCCUACGGGAGGCAGCAGUGGGGAAUAUUGGACAAUGGGCGAAAGCCUGAUCCAGCCAUGCCGCGUGUGUGAAGAAGGUCUUCGGAUUGUAAAGCACUUUAAUUUGGGAGGAAGGGCAGUAAGUUAAUACCUUGCUGUUUUGACGUUACCAACAGAAUAAGCACCGGCUAACUUCGUG